rnacentral:rRNA from 1 species
AUUGAACGCUGGCGGCAGGCCUAACACAUGCAAGUCGAACGGUAACAGGCAGAUUCUUGCUUCUUUUCUGACGAGUGGCGGACGGGUGAGUCAUGUCUGGCAAACUGCCUGAUUGAGGGGGAUAACAACUGGCAACGGUAGCUACUACCGCAUAACUUCGCCUGAACAGAGGGGGGGGGCUUCUGGCCUCUUUCCGUGGUAUGUGCCCAGAUGGGCGUAGCUUGUAUGUGGGGUUACGGCUCCCCUAGUCGACGAUCCCUCGCUGGUCUGAGAGGGUGACCGGCCGCACUGGAGCUGGGACGGGGUCCAGACGCCUACGGGAGGCAGCAGUGGGGAAUAGUGGACAACGGGCGCAAGCCUGAUGCAGCGAUGGCGCGUGUAUGAAGAAGGCCCUGGGGUUGUAAAGUACUUUCAGCGGUGAGGAAGGGAGUAAAGUUAAGACGUAGGCUGAUUGACGGUACCCGGAGAAGAAGCACCGGCUAACUACGUG